AUUGAACGCUGGCGGCAGGCCUAACACAUGCAAGUCGAGCGGAUGAAGGGAGCUUGCUCCUUGAUUCAGCGGCGGACGGGUGAGUAAUGCCUAGGAAUCUGCCUGGUAGUGUGGGAUAACGUCCGGAAACGGGCGCUAAUAACGCAUACGUCCUGAGUGAGAAAGUGGGGGAUCUUCGGACCUCACGCUAUCAGAUGAGCCUAGGUCGGAUUUGCUAGUUGGUGGGGUAAAGGCCUACCAGGGCGACGAUCCGUAACUGGUCUGAGAGGGUGAUCAGUAACACUGGAACUGAGACACGGUCCAGGGUCCUAGGGGAGGCAGCAGUGGGGAAUAGUGGACAAAGGGCGAAAGCCUGAUCCAGGCAUGCCGCGUGGGUGAAGAAGGUCUUCGGAUUGGAAAGCACUUUAAGUUGGGAGGAACGGCAGUAAGCUAAUACCUGGCUGUUUUGACGUUACCAAGAGAAUAAGCACCGGCUAACUUCGUG
rnacentral:rRNA from 1 species